AUGCUGCGGAUGUUUUACGAGUCUGUGGUGGCCAGUGUCAUCCUUUAUGCUGUUACAGGCUGGGGCAGCAGACUGAAGAAGCACUUUCAGUCAGAGACUCAUUUUAUCACACAGCACCACAGAGCGCCAAAGGAAAGUCAGAGAGCCGUGUCUCUCUACAGUCAGAGGUUUUUGUACGACGAUUCAAUCGGUUUGUAUCACUGUGGUACACGUUUGGUGGAGGAACCAGACUGGAUGUUGGAAUUUGUAUCACUGUGGAGGACUUUUGGUGGAGGAACCAGACUGGAUGUUGGAAGUGACACCCGUCCCACCCUGACAGUACUGCCCCCCUCCAAAGAGGAGAUGCAGCAGGGGAAGGCCACCCUCAUGUGUCUGGCCAACAAGGGCUUCCCCUCCGGCUGGAGUCUGUCCUGGAAGGUGGACGGCAGCAGCAGCAGCGGCAGCUGGGAGCAGAACAGGAGCCCCGGGGUUCUGCAGAAGGACGGCCUCUACAGCUGGAGCAGCACCCUGAGUCUCCCUGCAGACCAGUGGAGGAAGGUGGGCUCUGUGACCUGUGAGGCCACCCAGGGCUCCCAGUCUGCAGUCACCCAGACACUGAGGAGAGACCAGUGUUCCCAGUCCUGAUCUGAUUCACUCAGACAAUGAUAAUGGAUUGAAUCUGUCACUGCUCUCAUUCUUUUUCUUCUGAUUAUUUUCUACUUUCAAUGAAUCAUGUUUUUUUUUUUUUG